rnacentral:rRNA from 1 species
CAGCAGCCACGGUAAUACGGAGGGGGCUAGCGUUGUUCGGAAUUACUGGGCGUAAAGCGCACGUAGGCGGCUUGGUAAGUUAGAGGUGAAAGCCCGGAGCUCAACUCCGGAAUUGCCUUUAAGACUGCCGAGCUAGCAGGUGAGAGAGGUAAGUGGAAUUCCGAGUGUAGAGGUGAAAUUCGUAGAUAUUCGGAAGAACACCAGUGGCGAAGGCGGCUUACUGGCUCAUACUGGACGCUGAGGUGCGAAAGCGUGGGGAGCAAACAGGAUUAGAGACCCGCGUAGUCCCUGUCUCUUAUAC